rnacentral:rRNA from 1 species
GAUGAACGCUGGCGGCGUGCUUAACACAUGCAAGUCGAACGAUGAAGCCCAGCUUGCUGGGUGGAUUAGUGGCGAACGGGUGAGUAACACGUGAGUAACCUGCCCUUGACUCUAGGAUAAGCCCGGGAAACUGGGCCUAAUACUGGAUAGGAACGUCUACCGCAUGGUGGGUGUUGGAAAGAAUUUCGGUCAUGGAUGGACUCGCGGCCUAUCAGCUUGUUGGUGAGGUAAUGGCUCACCAAGGCGACGACGGGUAGCCGGCCUGAGAGGGUGACCGGCCACACUGGGACUGAGACACGGCCCAGACUCCUACGGGAGGCAGCAGUGGGGAAUAUUGCACAAUGGGCGAAAGCCUGAUGCAGCGACGCCGCGUGAGGGAUGACGGCCUUCGGGUUGUAAACCUCUUUCAGUAGGGAAGAAGCGAAAGUGACGGUACCUGCAGAAGAAGCACCGGCUAACUACGUG